GAAGAUGACAGCAAACCUAAGGUAUCGGAUCACGGACUAACCGGAAGUGACGAACACACAACUCAUACUCCAAAAUCAACUGAAUGUGGGAAUUUUCCUCUCGACUGUCCAAACCACUGUAUCGAGUUUGAUGAGUCGGGCUGUACAACAUGCACGUGCAAAAAUGGAAACAGCGAAUCAUCUUGGUACCAGGACAUAUGGAAUUAAACGUUUACAAACAUUGUUGACUGUUAUUCUG